rnacentral:rRNA from 1 species
AAUUGCUAGCGGCGGACGGGUGCGUAACACGUGGGUAACCUGCCCCUAUCACUGGGAUAACACACUGAAAAGUGUGCUAAUACCAGAUAACAUAAGCUUUUGGCAUCAUUAGCUUAUCAAAGAAUUUCGGAUAGGGGAUGGGGCCCGCGUCUGAUUAGCUAGUUGGUGAGGUAACGGCUCACCAAGGCAACGAUCAGUAGCCGACCUGAGAGGGUGAUCGGCCACACUGGAACUGAGACACGGUCCAGACUCCUACGGGAGGCAGCAGUGGGGAAUAUUGCACAAUGGGCGAAAGCCUGAUGCAGCAACGCCGCGUGAGCGAUGAAGGCCUCGGUCGUAAAGCUCUGUCCUAUGGAGAUAAUGACGGUACCGAUAGAGGAGACCCGGCUACUAACGUGCCAGCAGCGC